GAACGGACGAUGAAGAGCUUGCUUUUCAAAGUUAGUGGCGGACGGGUGAGUAACGCGUGGGUAACCUGCCUCAUACAGGGGAAUAGCAGCUGGAAACGGCUGAUAAAACCGCAUAAGCGCACAGUGCCGCAUGGCACAGUGUGAAAAACUCCGGUGGUAUGAGAUGGACCCGCGUCUGAUUAGCUUGUUGGCGGGGUAACGGCCCACCAAGGCGACGAUCAGUAGCCGGCCUGAGAGGGUGAUCGGCCACAUUGGGACUGAGACACGGCCCAAACUCCUACGGGAGGCAGCAGUGGGGAAUAUUGCACAAUGGGGGAAACCCUGAUGCAGCGACGCCGCGUGAAGGAAGAAGUAUCUCGGUAUGUAAACUUCUAUCAGCAGGGAAGAUAAUGACGGUACCUGAUUAAGAAGCCCCGGCUAACUACGUGCCAGCAGCCGCGGUAAUACGUAGGGGGCAAGCGUUAUCCGGAUUUACUGGGUGUAAAGGGAGCGUAGGCGGCGGAGCAAGUCAGAAGUGAAAGCCCGGGGCUCAACCCCGGGACGGCUUUUGAAACUGCCCUGCUUGAUUUCAGGAGAGGUAAGCGGAAUUCCUAGUGUAGCGGUGAAAUGCGUAGAUAUUAGGAGGAACACCAGUGGCGAAGGCGGCUUACUGGACUGACAAUGACGCUGAGGC
rnacentral:rRNA from 1 species